GCAAAUCAAUAUAAAUUGAUUAGUAUUUAUUUAUUAAUUUAUGUUUUUUAAAAAAUGAUUUAUUAAAAAUAAUUAUUUAAUUUAAUGUUUUAGUAAUUUUUAAUGAAAAAAUAAUAUUAAUAAUAGUGCAUUAUGUAUUGUAAAAGGUUAUUGAAAUAUCUUGAAAAAUUUUUAUAGAAAAAGAAAUUUUAAUUUAUUGUACCUUGUGUGUCAGGGUUUAUUAAAUAAUUAAUAAUUAUUUUUAUUAAUCUCGAUUUUAAAAGAGUUAAUAAUUUAUAAAAGUUAAUGUGCCAAAAUUAUUUUUAAUAAAUUAUUAGAAAUGAAAUAUUAUUCGUUUAUAAAGGUAUCUAGUUUUUUUAGAAAUAAAUUUAAUUUACAAAUUUUUAAUCUUUUAUUUAUUUAUUUAAUUUAAAUAAUUAUUAAUUUGAAUAUCUUAAGGGAUAAGCUUUAAAAUAGAUUAUUAAAAAUUAAUAAAUGUUAUUAAAAAUGUAUGUGUAGAAUUAGCAAUCAUUUAUAAAUUUGUUAUAAAUUAUUUUAUAUUGUAUAUUAUUUAUUAUAUUUUAAUUUGUUUUAUAAAAAUUUUUUUAUAAAUAAUUAAUGAAAAGUGAUAAUGAUAAAAUUAGUAUAUAAAUGUAACUGUUUUAGUAAUUUUAUAUGAUAAGUUUAUAUAAAGAACUCGGCAAAUUAAUACACUCGCCUGUUUAACAAAAACAUGUCUUUUUGAGUUAUUUUAAAAGUCUAACCUGCCCAAUGAAUAAAUUUGAAUGGCCGCAGUAUUCUAACUGUGCAAAGGUAGCAUAAUCAUUAGUCUUUUAAUUGAAGGCUGGUAUGAAUGGUUGGACGAAGUGUAAUCUGUUUCAUAUAAAUUUAUAAUAGAAUUUUAUAUUUUAGUUAAAAAGCUAAAAUUUUAUUAAAAGACGAGAAGACCCUAUAAAUCUUUAUAUUUAUUAUUAUUUUUGUUUUUUUGAUAAGGUUUACUUUUAUAAUAAUUAAUAUUUUGUUGGGGUGAUAUUAAAAUUUAAUGAACUUUUAAUUAUUUAAAAUCAUUUAUUUAUGAGUUGUUGAUCCAUUAAUAGUGAUUAUAAGAUUAAGUUACUUUAGGGAUAACAGCGUAAUUUUUUUGGAGAGUUCUUAUCGAUAAAAAAGUUUGCGACCUCGAUGUUGGAUUAAGAGAUAUUUUUAGGUGUAGCUGCUUAAAUGUGAAGUCUGUUCGACUUU
rnacentral:rRNA from 1 species